AGCCUUCUGUAUCUGUGCUGAGAUUUCGUCACAUCGGACCACGAAGGCUGAUGAGACUCCCAAGAUAAGUGAAGUG
rnacentral:pre_miRNA from 1 species